GAAUCCUGGCACCCCAGUUCCAUGCAUCCAAACUGCAGACAGUGGUGUUCAUGCUGGUGUGACUGCUUCAUUUCUGGAUGACAGCAGCUCUGCCCCAGGAAGCGGAUGUCCAUCACAGCUUAACUGUCAUCUGGAAUCCUGUGGUGCAAAAGAGGCUAUGUCUUGAUUUUGUUCUGUUCUCUCUUUCUGUCUGCUCAAGAGAGGGACAGGCAUAAGGAAAUUGAGGGAAACUUCCAGCCUGGUCACCAGCAUACCACAUGUACAGUAAGAAAAUGAAGCAAGUGUUGGAGAGAGCAGUGGUGAGUAGAGGCAGUGUAGGCGGGGUAAAAUUAG
rnacentral:lncRNA from 1 species